rnacentral:lncRNA from 11 species
CUGUUAGUAUUUCUGGGAAUGGAAGGCAAAAACAUCUGAGGACCCACAGGCCUACAGCUUGAGAACUUCUGUUCUACAGGACAGGAGAGAUUUUUCUGAGAAACAACUCCCUAGGGAACUGACAAAAACAGGUCAACUUACUGAAAAAGUAAUUGUGAAGCUUACAAGAGUUUGAAGGGAAGAAGAAGACUGAUUUAAGGAGAAGGCAGGACAAGGGGGAUGAUCCAACAGCCAGCCAGCCCUUCAUCAUACAAUGUCAGUCCUGGAUAUAUUUCUUCACCCGUGUUUGCUGUGAACAUUUUUGGCUUUGCACUGAAUCAUGUAUUCCGAAAACUGAUUUCUGGAAUGAUUUCUGAAAGUCAAGAAAACUCUAGGAAGUCAUGGAGAAAUACUGAACUAAACACUUCAAGAAAAAAUCCAUAG